rnacentral:rRNA from 1 species
AGUGAACGCUGGCGGCGUGCCUAAUACAUGCAAGUCGAACGGAGUGGCGCACGGGUGAGUAAUGUAUAGCUAAUCUGCCCUACACUAUAGGACAAAAGUUGGCAACGGCUGCUAAUACUCUAUAGUGUAGGAUGAGGCUAUAUUGUAUCAGCUAGUUGGUGAGGUAAUGGCUCACCAAGGGUAUGACGCCGAACUGGUCUGAGAGGAUGAUCAGUCACACUGGAACGGAGACACGGUCCAGACUCCUUCGGGAGGCAGCAGUAGGGAAUAUUGCUCAAGGGGGGAAACCCUGAAGCAGCAACGCCGCGUGGAGGAUGACACUUUUCGGAGCGUAAACUCCUUUUGUUAGGGAAGCGGUACCUAACGAAUAAGCACCGGCUAACUCCGUGCCAGCCGCCGCGGUAAUUC